rnacentral:misc_RNA from 1 species
UCAAACUUGGUCAUUUAGAGGAAGUAAAAGUCGUAACAAGGUCUCCGUAGGUGAACCUGCGGAGGGAUCAUUACAGCGAGCUCGUUGCCCCCUGGGCCGACCUCCCACCCACUGUUAUCGCUACGACCGUUGCUUUGGCGGGCCGUCGGGCCCCGCCCGCCGCCGGCCCGCCGGCGCGCGCCCGCCAGAGGCCCCCAGACUCGCUGUCAGUGUCGUCCGAGUGCCAUGAUAAUCGUCAAAACUUUCAACAACGGAUCUCUUGGUUCUGGCAUCGAUGAAGAACGCAGC